rnacentral:lncRNA from 1 species
UCUCUCUCUCCCUCAUCUCUAUGAAGAAAUAAAUAAAAUCUUUAAAAAAAAAUCUUUAAAAAAAAGAAUGUUUCUUUUUGCUCUAGAGAAAAAUCUCUAAGAAAUAAUGAUCCCAGUUUUCAAAAUACUUUGAGCUCAUUCUGGAAUCUGCUGGUUUUAUGUUUAAAAAUUACAUCUCUCUAUAUGCACAUUUAUAACUUAAUAGGCUGACUUAACCAGAGAUCAUUUAGAACUUCAGUUCAUGAUGGAGAACUUUUCGAUUUCCUCAAUUGUUUUACUCAAAAUUAAUAUAUACUUCUUUUUUUUUUUUAAUACUUCUUAAAGAUUUUAUUUGUCAGAGAGAGCACAAGCAAGAGGAACAGUAGGCAGAGGUUGAAGCCGAUUUCCCUCUGAGCAAGGAGUCCAACGUGGGACUCAAUCCCAAGACCUGAGAUCAUGACCUGAGUUGAAGGCAGAUACUUAACUGACCAAACCCACCCAGGUACCCCAUUUUACUAAAACUUAAAUUGGAAAGCAGGAGCUUCUUGGGGGGGGAAUCCUGGAAUGCUUUUUUUUUUUUUUUUUUAAGAUUUUAUUUAUUUAUUCCUUUCUACUUUUCUGCUCUGUCAUCCUUGAAUGUCAGUUACCUUGCCUCUAGGUCACAAGAAGCCUGCAAAGCCUCCAAACAUUACACUACAUCCUAUCACACUGUAGCAGGAUUUCUUUUCGUGGUGCCCAUGGUUCUUGGUCACCUACUUUGAAGAAUGAAGAGGACUGCAUACAGUAUUCUGGUAUGCAGGUGCCAGAAGCAGAACAGAAGCUGGGCCAGCAGAGAAGAAGGGAAACACCCAGGAACGUCUUUUCACCUGCCCACUAGGCCAGACACCUGCUCCAGCUCUGCUAAUUGGACUCACCCACACAAGAUUCUGACUCAGGAAGUAAUGAAGCAAAGGAGCAGUUCUGGGUGGAAUUCAUUCUUGCCCAGGUAGUGUCACCACAGCCACUUUCCAGAGGCGUGGAGAAAACAGCUCCAAUAACAGGGUCCAGCAUCCCAGGAAUAGUGCGAGGGGCCAUGUCUAUGCCCAGUGGCAGUAGCAAGGGUAUCUUUUUUUUUUUUUUUUAAGAUUUUACUCAUUUAUAUGAGAGGGAGAGGGGCAGAGAAGGAAAGCAGGGAGCCUGAGGUGGGGCUCAAUCCCUGGACCUUGGGAUCAUGAUUUAGGCUGAAGGCAGAUACUUAACCAAUUGAGCCACCCAGGCACUCCCACAAGGGCAUCUUUACAAGCCUAAUUGGGUGACACAAUCUUGGACAUAUUUGUCCUAUAGACAUAGCUUCCAAUCCUGGUUAUCCUCC